rnacentral:lncRNA from 1 species
CAUAACCAAAACAUAGCCUUCAUUUUUGAAUUCCCUCCGCCCAUUGAGAUAUUGAACGAAGGUGUCAAUAAGAUAGGGCCCAACAUAAGAAGCUAAAAUGUCCAAAAGUAGGAAUAAAGCCGUCAAUAGGAUUUCUGCCCAAAAUGCAAAGAUCAAUGCUUUCACCAGCUUAAGCGUGGUCACUCCAUUACUUCCACCACAAUCACACUGGAGCUUAUUUCUAAAUGCUGGAAAGACCGCUACAACGCUGUUGCUGGUAUCAAGCUGAGGAACAUCCCCAAGGUCUAAUGUUUUCUUGUUACCCUCAGCAAUCAAGGGACCGAUCCAAGAGAAAGUAAGAAGGCUAAAAAAACCAGCUUUUGAAAAGGGGGUCACAGUUUCUUCCCCCUUGGAUUCAUCAGACUCUACUAUACUUAUACUGGUGCCACCAUUCAAAAGUGGUUCCCUAAGAAUUGAUUCCUCACCUUGAUUAUUUCCCAAAAACCCGGAAUAGCACAAGAACAGACCAGUUAUGACGUAGACAAUGUCGGGCACCAAAAAUUGAACUUGUAGGGACUGGUCUUUCUUAACAAUGUCUAUAACAAGGCAAUAACAAGAGAUGGAGAAGUAAAAUCCCCACCAAACUCUUAACAAAAAUGGGAACUUUGGUUCAACAGAACCAUGGAAUUGAGUGUGCAAAUAUACAGAAACUGCUCCCCAGGAAAGUGUUCUGAGCACUAAAUCCAAAAGUGUGACCAGCUUUUCACCAGACCAGCCAUUUCUAUACCAAUAAAAGUAGUUCAAAAAACACAAGAAGAAAUUCAACAGUGACAGACCCUGACAGCAUGCAAACGUUUGCUUAUAGUACAAAAACCUAGUCCUCUUAUAAUUUUCAAGAGCACCCCCGUUGAUUCUCUUGCACACCCAUGAUACAAACAGGAGAAGCAACAAAACUAGAUGCAAUGAGGCAGAAAAGGCACGUAAAAAGACUGGGUUUAGCAGAAAACCAAUACCUGGGUACGUAACCAUGGCUUCGAGCCCCACCAUUUUUUGAGAACCUUUGGAUUCCACUAAAAUGGUAUUUUGGAGGUGUGCUCAUGAAUUGGCACUUGACAGUGAAGAUUUUUGGUACUUCAUAUAUGAGAAAUAAGAUGGGAUGUCACUGGUUUUUUAAGAGUGUAUUCCACAUGAGAAGGUCAGUCAAUGGAUACUUCCAUGGGCGCCGGAUAACUUGGCAGCCAUCGAAUGUUGACGGACAUGGCAAAGAAGCUAGGCAGGCAUGAAGAGAGAGACAACUUCAAGGACAUAGAGACAAUUUUCUUGUUUCCCUUUUUUUUAUUGAUCAUAUUUUUACUAGAAUUUUCAUUGCCAAAUAUUUUUAUUUCCAAAAUCCAAAAGAUUUAUGAUUUAUUUUUUUGAUUCACAUUUCAUUCCAACAAACUACUCUAUGGUAUCAUAAAUAUUUGGCAAAUUCCCCAUUAUUAUCUUAUUUUCCAUAAAAAAAUUUAGAAACAAAUUUCAAAUUACCCGGAUGACCAAAAAAAAAAAAAAAAACACCACACACACAAAAGAAAAAGAAAAAUAAUAUUUUUUAUUCAGCAAUUUAAUUUAAUUACCAUUAUUUAGUUAAUUUUAAAUUAGAAUUCAAUUAUGGAAUUUAGUUAAUCCCUUUUUUAUUUCAUAGUAGAACCAUUGAUAUUUUUACAAUCAUAUAGAUCCAGACAAUGACUACAUUUGUUAAAAGUCAAAAUCAUAGUAGGCAUCGCAACUGUCAGCUCAUCAUUUUGUCAUUAUGUGUUUUGCUUCUGAAGAACUGGUCAAAAGAUAACCUUAAAAAUAACUACUAGUCUACUACAAAGAAAGCCUAGAAAAUAAUUUCUAUUUUUUUUUUUAUUCUUUAAGGUUUGUAAACUUCUUUUUUUUUUUUUUUUUCUGAACUUUUAUGCUUUAUAAAGGAUUAUCCCCUUCAUUCCCUUUGAAAAUAGGUAACAUUGACACUGGUUGUGGUUUGAUCAUGAUAUGUUCUUAAGGGGCAAUGAAGCAUGAGGGUUUCUUGACCCUAGGAGGGUUAAGAUGAUCCCUCAUCAACCUAUAGGAUUGGAAAUGCCUAACUUGUUGAUUGUUGUUGUUGCUUUGAUUUCUUAGGUCAUUUAUACUUGAUUGAAUUGGCUAAAUUUGUCUUUGGCGUCUAGUAAAAAUAUCCAUUUUCUAAACAAGCAUAAAAAGUAAGAAGAAGAUGAAAAGUAAAAAACUAGAAAUAAAUAAAAUUCCUAUUAUUAAAGAAAACCAAUUAUUUAAAACAAAAAAAAUUAAAAACUACUUAAUUGACUUAGAUAAAACUUAAUACUAAUUCCUUAGCAAUGACAUCAUUUUCUUGACCGAAAAUCUCUAUUACAAAUAAAAUAUUAAAACAUAAAUACAUGAUAAAAUUAGUAAAGAAAAAUGAGGGAUAGAGUUAUCAUAACUUGUAGUAUUUCAGGUUAUCAUACGGAGGGAAUAAUUUUUUUUUAACUAAUUUUAUCUAAAAGUAGUGAUUUUUAUUUUUAUUUUUAAAAUGAUUAGAUUGAAAUUAUGAUUUGAUGGAUAAAUUAAGAAAACAAUGAUAAACCAAUCUAAAGAUUUUGACAAAUCCAAUCUCAAACCUAGGAUUGAGGGAUAAUAAAUAAUGAUUAAAGGAUUUUUUGCCUUCAUAGAUUAGACCACAAUAUAGGCCAUCCAAGUUUGGAACCAUGUUUUCAAACUUAAAAUCCAUUCUCUAAUAGUCAUCCAACAAAUAAUUUGAUACAAUGUUUUAUCCUUUAGGACAUUUAAAACCCGAUAUUCAUUUGGUGUAUUCUCCUUAGUCAUCAAUUACAUUAACAUAUGAUCACACUAGGUCAACUAUUGAUCAUAAUCCCUUAUGCAUCAAAGGACCCCUAGCAUGUAUCCUAUGUAUCUCUAAUAGGGACGAACUAGCAAAUAAUUAAACUUUUAUACAAAGAUUUAAAGAUUAGAAACUAACUACCAUUAAAAGAUAUCACAUUUUCUUAUCAUCCCUUUGUCUUGAAUUAUUCGUGAUUUAUUGUUACAUCUCCAAUGAGAGGAUUUAGCCACUCAUGCUCAGAUUAAUGUCAUACAUUGAAUUAAAUUGAAUCAUGAGAGAUUUUAUUGAAAACUAAAUAAUUAUAAAAGUUGUAUCCAAACUCAAAAGUUUCUCUUCUUCUCUACUCUCUUUGUUCCUAAAGAAAUUUAUGGUAUUUAUAAAAACCUAACGCUAAAAACAUAAAUAAAAGUGCUAAAAUGUCCGAAGACAUGUAAAAGAGCCAAAUAGGGAAAGCCUUGAAGUGAAAUUCUAGAAAUUGUAGUUUGUAGAAAAAAUUUCGAUACCUCCAUAGUGGUAUUAGAUUGCAUUUCAAUAAAUGCCCAAACCUUAUAGACCUUUGGCAUGCUUCCAAUGUGGUAUUGGAUUGAUUACAACAUGUAUCAUAAUGCAUCUUUUUGUAUUGACACCUUAUAUCAAAAUUGUAUCUCAAUGUAUCUUUUCGUAUUGAAAUGUUGCACUUUGUAUCAAAAUUGCAUCUCCUUGUAUCGAAAUUCAUUUUGAUGAACCUUGAAAUUUUUACAUCUUUGGAAUGCUUUUCUAGGAAAAUUUGGAUGCCUCCACUAUAUUGAAAUGUUUAUCAAAAUUCAUCUUUCGUAUCGAAAUACAUUUUGAUAAACUCCUGAACUGAACUCACUAGAUCUUUGGAAGGUUGAGGUUGGUGAUUUUUUAUGCCUUCUUAUCGCAUCAAAAUCAAUAUCAAAAUGCAUUUCUUGUAUUGAAAUGGUGUUCUCACAUCAAAUUGUGUAUCACAUAGUAUCAAAAUGCAUUCCAAUAACACCCCAAACUUACUAUGUUCCAAUUGACUCUACUCCUUUAUAUUGAAGUUGUUAGGAUAAUGAGUCUUCAUCGUAUGUUGAUAAUUUUGUCGGGAAGAUCUGAGGUUAUUGUUUGUCCAAUUGAAAAGUCACAUGUACGUCCAAAAUGGUUUCACUUGCGGCAAGUUAGGUAAACAAAGGGAAUAAAGUGGAUCAGUAUAUUUUUUUAAUGAAUUAAAAAGGUUUGUUGAAGGCAAGUUAUUAUUAUUAGUUUUUUUUUUUUAAUAAAGUAAGGUUGGAUUGGAAGUUUUAAAAUUGAGUUAAAAUCUCUUAAUUAAUUUUUGACAACUUUGAAAUUUUAUUUUUAUUAGAAAUUUGAUAUUUUAUUUUUUUAAGGUAAUUUUUUUUUUCCAAAUUAAUUUUUAGAAAGUUGAUAUUUUAUUUUUAAGAAAAUUAUUUUCUUAAUUAAUUUUUAGAAAGUUGAUAUUCUUUUUUUUUUUUUAAGAAAACUAUUUUCUUAAUUAAUCUUUAGAAAGUUGAGAUUUAAUUCCAUUUCCAAGUCUCUAAGCUUUUACGCCUAUAUGUAUAAACCCUGGCUUAACACAUUUUGGGGUUGGACAUUAUUGAGAGAGAUUUGACCUAACUUGCCCUUUCCAUUCUCUCAAGAAAGUUUCAAAGAUUGAAUCUUGGAUUGUUAGAAGACCUACAUUCCUUCAUCGAGGCUAAAGAGUAUUCAUUAAAGCAAUUGAAGAUUGCUGUGUCGUGUGGAUCAAGUUGUAGCUAUCGAAAAGUAAGUCUUCAGGGCUCUGUAAUUUGAUAUCAUAUAACAGAUUUAGAUUAAGGGUUUUAAACCCCAUGUUUUUUUUUUAUCUCCAUAAUAGUGUUGGGGUUUUUCACAUAAAAAUUCUUGUGUCCUAUGCAUGCAUAUUUACUUUCUUUUUUUUUUUUCUAAUAUUUUGGAUAUUUUGUUAAUCCCUACUAUCUUAUAGAUUUAAUUAAGUUAAUUAAGUUAAAUUGAGUAAUUAAUUCUUAAUCCUUAUAUUAUAAUUUUUAAUUACACCCAUUCAUCCCUUUGAUGUCACCUUAUCGGACUACAGUUUUUUAGAAGUGAUUUUGAAAUCAACUCUUAUGCAUCAAAAUUCCUCUUUUUCCUUGCAUUCUUCACUAGAUGUGCAUAUUAAUCCUCAAUUUGAGGCUUUGCAAAUAUUUAAGUUACAAGAUAAUGAUUUGCACUCAAAAGUUAUUUAAAAGCCUAUUUUUAUAUAUGGAAAAAUAUCAGUUUUGAGUGCUUAUCAACUACUGCAUUUUGGAUUGUAACUGCAGUUUAGUUGUCGUCAUUGUCAAGCAAGAUUUUAAGUUGAAGUUUUUGACCGGUGCAACAGGCGUGCUUGCUGGUUCAGAUAUCACCCGCAUUUUCAAGAUUAGAAUGUGACCUCACAGUGUACUCUGCUACAAGCUUUGCAAAAGAUGACGACUUGUUCUCUAGCAAUCUGGUGGGGGUAUCGUAUUCCUCAAUAAGCCCUGCAUCGACAUUUCCAGGGAAAUAAAUCAAGAAGAAUGCAGAUGAAGUUAAGAGUGCCAUUAGUUCAUGUUGAUAGUACUAACCAUGAUCCAGAAGUAGAACCUUGUCACUAUCAAGAACAGAAGUAAUUCGAUGUGCAAUGGUUAUGACUGUGGAAUCGACAAAGUGUUGUCUAAGGGUUUGCUGAAUCAGAUUAUCCGUGGCUGUAUCAACUGAUGCAGUGGCUUCAUCAAGCACUAAGACCUUGCUUUUCUUCAGUAGAACUCGGCCAAGACAAACCAGUUGCCUCUGACCCAUGCUCCAAUUCUCUCCAUUCUCAAUAACUGCCAAAUGCAUGCCAACAUUAGGAGUCUUAUAUGAGGUUACUAUUUAGAUUUUAUGUUAGCAUGGCGGGAGAAAUAACCUGCAGAAUCUAGCUUUCCUUCUUUCUUCCUGACUUCAUCUCCAAGCUGGCACUUAUCCAGAGCCUGAACCAAUGAGUUAGGAAAGCAAUAAUUCAUUUGUACAAUAUUAAGAAAUGAAGCAAAAGAAAACUAUUUUUCUACUGUCUUAAGAAAACAUAGUAGAGGAAAACCACAUGUCCACCUUACUUUUUGAGUAUAUCAAUAGAAUAAACAAAGCCUACCUCCCAAAUCUGUUCAUCUGAGUACUCUUCAAGUGGGUCAAGGUUGCUCCGUACAGUCCCUUCAAACAUGGUUGGAUCCUGAGGGAUAAUGCUUAGUCUAGACCGCAAAUCAUGUAGUCCAAUAGAAGAGAUGUUGGUACCAUCUAUCAUAAUCUGACCAGCGGCAGGUUCAACAAUUCGAAAGAGGGUCUGUAUGAGGGUUGAUUUACCACUGCCAGUUCGCCCUACAAUGCCAGUCUUCAUUCCUCCCAGGAAAGUGCAUGUGAGACCUCUCAAUACAAGUGGCAUGUGUGGGGCAUAGCGGACCUACAUCCACACUCACCGUCAUCAAACAUAUGGAAAUUCCUCUGACCAGAGGAAGCCAUGAAUAACCCUCUAGCAUGUAUAUAAAUAGAAAUUACCUGCAAAUCCUGAAUAUCAACUUCUCCAUGUGAAGGCCAAGAACAUGCUAGCCUGUUUUCUUCUGUGACAAGAGGAGGCUCGCUUGGAAUGGAAGUGUAUUGAAGUAUUCUCUCAACUGAUAUAAUUUUAUUCUCCAUAUUGCAAAGAUUCCAUAUUACCCAAGCUUGUAUCAUGUUCAAAUUAAGUCCAUAUGUCACUGCUAGGCCUGCAAUACCUUUAAUGGAAGUGGAAAAGAGUGUUAGUAAUUCUCCUAUGCCAUUUGCUAUUGAGAGUGAAAUAGAUAAUCAGUGAAUAUACCAGAACAGAGAUACUUACCAGGAUCAAUUACUCCCUCUGGAACAGAGAUUAAGAAAACCAAAGAGAAGGCAAAUGUAGCAGAAGAUAGCAUAUCCAAGCGGAAGCACAGCCAUUCCAUUGCACCAGCAAUGUUGAACUUGGGCCGUAUAUACCCAUCUACCAAUUUCAUGUUUGUAUCCCUGAAUCUAGAUUCUUGAUCAAAGCUUCUGAUGGUCAUAGAUCCUGCUAUAGUUUCAGAAAAAUGUUGAAUUACUGGAGCUUUGCAUACUCCGGCCAAUCUUGACAGUUCUCGUGCUGAAGGUAUGUAAUAUUGCUGCAUAAUUAUAAUGUUGUAAGAACCUUUUGCUCAUAUAUGAUAUAAAUCUAAGCUUUAAGGGGUAUUGAAAAAAAGGGAGAAAAUGGUUUUGGAAAUGAUAAAAAAAUAGAAAUACAUUAGUUAAACAUUGCAUCUAAACAGAAAAACCUGCAGUCUAUCUUGCAGCCAAUUUCAUUACUCUUAUCUGAAAAGUGAAUUGGCACUCAAAAACCACCAUAUCAACACUAAAGAAACUUUCAUUCUGAGGCCAUAUUAAUUGGCAUGGCACAUUCAUAUUUGCACCUCCUUAAUAUGCAAUGCUUGUGACUGAGCCCCAGCUCAGCUGGAUCAGAAAGGAACAUGAACAUGUCAUGAAUUGUAAGAGUUAUCCUGAAUUAGGAUUCCAUUUUAAUGCAGUUGGUUUAAAACGAAUCAAAUUUCUCAGUAAGCAAUGCACUACUCCAAUUUUUUUUCUAAGCAACAUUUUGGAGUAAAGCUUAGUUUAUACCCAAAAUGGUUUUGAGCCUACUGGCAUUUUCAUGGACAUAUGAUUGAUAAUCUAAUGUGGAAGAGUACAUGGCAUAUGUAAGCAAAGAAAAUAAAUAAUGUAAUAUGAGAAACAUAAGGUGAUCUCAACUACAGAGCAUGAGAUGUCAUGUGACAAAGCCAUGUGUUGGCAUUAACUAACAAGAAGAGGUCCUAAUAAGUUCACAAUGGUUACCUGAUACCAGAUGCAGGUUGCAAUCACAGGAAUAAAGACAAUGAAAACCUGCCAUGCAACCUGUGACAUAACUGCAAUAAUUCCCAGGAGCUGAAUCAAUUGGAAGGCAAAUGCCCCAACUUGCAUUGGCAUGGUUGUAUCGAUCGUACUUUGGUCUGUAGAAGCCUGUAAAAAAGGGAAGGAUCAAUUAAGUGAUAUUCUAACACUAGCUUUGGUAAAUGGGGAAAAGUGCAAGGCAGAAAUAGAUAUAUAUUCAUAUUUUCACUUACUCUGUUUAGAAUUCGCCCACUUGGGGUGGCAUCAAAGAAUGACAUUGGGGCACGGAAGACGCACAAAUGCAUUUUAUUGAAGAGUAUAGUAGCUGUCUUGUAACCAGCUGUUACAAGAAGCAUGGCUCUGGAAAGGACGCAAAAAGAACUUCCAACGGCCAAAGCUACAUAAACAAUUAUGAGAGUAGAACCUCUAACUGCAGGUUUCACAUCAUCUGACACGGGACUUGCCCAAGCCAUCCAAUAAUUGCUUCCAAUCUGAAGCAGCUGAAAGAGAAUCUGUGACAACAAUAUAAAGGGCACAAGAGCUCCUCCAUAUGCUGUCCUGAUGUAUUUCCAAUAAACCCAUAGCCCAACUUUACCUUUCUCUCUCUCCUCUUCUUGAACAAGCUGACCUUUUGUCCCAUCUAUCUCCUCUGCUUUACCAUUUUGGCCACCUCUGUUUUCUUCUUUUUCAACUACUUCAGAAGUACCACCAAUAUUAUCACUAUCCUCAUGGAUACUUAAUUUUUCUGAAAGUGACCCUGCCUCUACAGAAUUGAGUGCUAACAAAGCUUUCUUAUGUGCACCAACAAGUUCCAUAAAAUCAGUUCCAGAGUUGAGAAUUUCAUUGUACUUUCCUGCUUGUGUAACCCUUCCAUCUUUCAUGACCUGCAGGUAUGCUACAUUUCUUAAGUUUAUCUAAAACAAAGGCAAGGAAGAAAAAACACUGUAAUUACUCACCAGUAUGAGAUCAGCAGCAGGUAAGAACUCUACUUGAUGUGUAACAUAAAUCACUGUUUUCGAACCCAAGAGACCCAGCAAACAUUCCUGUUAUAUGAAGAUUACUUACAAAUACGAUCAAUGAAAGAUUUUUUUUUUUUCAUUUAAUAUAUAUAAUAAAAGGGAAAGGAAACAAAACAAAGGGCAAUGGCAUAGCAAGGGUCCCUAAUUACCUCAGCCAGACCAAGAACCAAAUCUUAUAUAGCCCAUAGCAGUGCAUAUUAAAACAUACAAGGAUAGCUCAUUUUCUACUUAAUGCAAUGGCAUUGUAUAGAUAAUAUGUUGUUUUACUUCAUAUAUAUAUAUAUAUAUAGAUCAAACUCAGGCUUUUAUAAGAGAAAAAAAUUACCUUAAAGAGAUGGGUUCCUGUAUGAGCAUCCACGGCACUGAAGGGGUCAUCAAACAGAUAAAUAUCAGCAUUUUGGUAGAGCGCACGUGCAAUCUGUAUUCUUUGCUUCUGGCCACCACUCAUAUUGAUUCCCCACUCACCUAUUACUGUCUGAUCACCAAAUGAGAGAACCUCCAGGUCCUUCUUUAAGGAACAUGCAUCAAGGACCCUUUCAUACCUUUCUCUUUCCAUCUCCUUACCAAACAAGAUGUUCUCUUCUAUCUUGCCACUCUGUAUCCAAGGAGACUGAGCAAUCUAAAGAACCAGUGCCUCACUGAAAGGCACUCAACAAGCUUCGCAACAAAAAAAGCCAUAGCCAAAAGAUAGCCUUCAUUUUUGAAUUCCCUUCGCCCAUUGAGAUAUUGAACGAAGGUAUCAAUAAGAUAGGGCCCAACAUAAGAUGCUAAUGUGUUUACAAGUACCAAGAAAGCCGUCAAUAGGAUUUCUGCCCAGCAUGCAAAGAUCAAUGCUUUCACCAGCUUAAGCGUGGUCACUCCACUACUUCCACCACUAUCACACUGGAGCUUAUUACUAAAUGCUGGAAAGACCCCCGCAACGCUGUUGCUGGUAUCAAGCUGAGGAACAUCCUCAAGGUCUAAUGUUUUCUUGUUACCCUCAGCAAUCAAGGGACCGAUCCAAGAGAAAGUAAGAAGGCUAAAAAAACUAGCUUUUGAAAAGGGGGUCACAGUUGCUUCCCCCUUGGAUUUAUUAGACUCCACUCUACUUAUACUGGUACUACCAUUCAAAAGGGGUUCCCUAAGAAUCGAUUCCUCGCCUUGAUUCUUUCCCAAAAAUCCCGAAUAGCACAAGAACAGACCAGUUAUGACGUAGACAAUAUCGGGCACCAAAUAUUGAAUUCGUAGGGACUGGUGUCUCUUGACAAUAUCUAGAACAAGGCAAUAACAUGAGAUGGAGAAGUAAAAUCCCCACCAAACUCUUAACAAAAAUGGGAACUUUGGUUCAACAGAACCAAUGAAUUGAGUGUGCAAAUAUACACAAACUGCUCCCCAGGCAAGUGUUCUGAGCACUAAAUCCAAAAGGGUCACCAGCCUUUCAUCAGACCAGCCAUUUCUAUACCAAUAAAAGUAGUUCAAAAAACACAACAACAAAUUCAACAGCGACAGACCCUGACAGCAAGCAAACGUUUGCUUAUAGUACAAAAACCUAGUCCUCUUACAAUUUUCAGGAGCACCCCCCUUGAUUCUCUUGCACACCCAUGAUACAAAUAGGAGAAGCAACAAAACUAGAUGCAAUGAGGCAGAAAAUGCACGUAAAAAGACGGGGUUUAGCAGAAAACCAGUACCUGAAUACGUAACCAUGGCUUCGAAUCCCACCAUUUUUUGAGAAUCUUUGGCCUCUGCUAAAAGGGUAUUUUGGAGGUGUGCUUAUGAAUGGAAAGGGAUGAUUUCUGGUGCUUUAUAUACGAAAAAAAAGACGGUAGGUCCCCGGUUUUAAGAGCGUAUUCCACAAAGUAAGUCAGUCAAAGGAUAUUUCCUUGGGCGCGGGAUAACUUGGCAGCCAAGCUUCAGUUGACGGAGAUAGUGAGGAAGCGUGGCAGGCACGAAGAGAGAGAACUUUAAGGAGAUCGAGACAAUUUUAUUGUUUCUAUUUUUUUUUUUUAUUGAUUAUCCUUUUUGUAGAAUUUUUAUUUCCAAAACCCAAACACAUUUAGAUUUCAUUCUAACCAACUACUUACUGGUGUCAUAAAUAUUUAGGAUUUUUAUUUAUUUAUAAUCAUCGAUGUUCGGACCAGUUUACGAGUCUAGUAAAUUUCCCGUGGCUUUGAGAGAACUCGAAUUGAUGACGGGAAACAAACUUAAGAUGGGACUAAUUGAACAAUCCCUCAAGGUUAUAAAUAUUUGAGAAAUUUUUUUCUAUUAUUUUAUUUUCUAUAAUAUUUCUUAGAGACAAAUUUCAAACAACCAUGAUAAAAUAAAAAAAUUUAUUUAGCACUUUAAUUUUAAUUAUCAUUAUUUAUUGAAAUUUAAAUUCAAUUAUGAAAUUUCAUUUCUUUUUAAGUAGAAAAUGAAUUGAAUCCCCCUUUCAUCAUCACAAUGACUAUAUUUAUUAAAAGUCAAAAUUAUAGUAGGAGUCAUAAUUGGCAGUUCAUCUUGUCAUCUUGUGUUUUGCUUCUAAACAACCGGUCAAAAAAUAACCUUAAAAAUAGGCUACACAAAAUGUGGAGAUUCCAAAAUAUUGGUUUUAUAUAUGUAUAUAUUUAUCUUUUUGGGGUAGAGCAUGUGGAUAUCCAUGAAAGACAAAAUACUUUCUGCUCCACCAUCUGGCUGGAAAGUCCCACUUUGGCGGACCACAGGAGGGUCGGGAUUCACAGGACCACAAAGCCUUGAAAAUUAGGGCCACUCACAUGACUUUAUAUGCAACAAUGACAUAUAACCAAUUCCCUAUUUAUGAUGCCACUGAUUUUCUAGCCACGUGUUUGACUAUUGAAUAAUUAUUGUGGAAUUAUUUUCUUUUGAUGUAUGUAUCGUGUAAGUUUCUAAAAGUUAAAAAUGGGUUCACUUUUAGUGAUUUACACUUAAAAGGAAUUGAAGUUCUGAAAUGUUGGAGAAGAACUUCAAGGGGAAAUUUUAAAAUAAGGAAGUGAUGAUAUGAUUAAGAUAGUUAGGGUAAAGAUUAAAAAUUAGAUUUAUGGUUAAUUAUAAUGUUUUCAGAAUCGGAUCGGUUAUUGAAUUGAAAAAAUUACUGGUUCACGAUUCAUUGGUCGGACCGACGGUUGAACCGCGAUCGAAUCGAUGAUGUCAUAAAUAUACAAUUUAUAAAUGAUUAAAAUUUAAAAUAAUUAUAAAAAUAAAAAUAAUAUUUUAUAUAUUAUUUAAAAAUUAAAAUUUUAUUUAAAAAUCAUAAAAUUAGUUUCAAAUUAGAAAUUUAAAUUAAAAUCAUAAUUUUAAUUUAAAAUUUAAAAUUUUAAUAUUUAUUUUUAAAUAAAAAACUUAUUUUAAAAUCAAAAAUUUAUUUAAAAUUGUAAUGUUUUUAAUUUUACCAUCAAACCAUAUCUCAUACCAUCCAUGUAAAUCCAUAUAAAAGGCAUUUUUUACUUUAUCAAUUUGAGCUUUCAAUCUCCACAACACUGUUGCUGUGAAGACUAAUAAAUAAACCAAAAAAGAAAAAUUUAUAAAAAUUGAAUAUUAAACAUAAUAUCAUAGUAAAAAAACACAUAAAAAUUAUUAAAUAUAAAACAUAAAAAAUAAUUUUGAAAAUAUCAACUUGCAGCUACUGGGCAGAGUCGGAAGGCGCACACAAUCGGGUUUUCCGGAGAGGAACUUUGAUCGGGGGGAUGGUUGCAACGGGUUUUGCAUCGGGGCGGUCAAGAGGGCGGGCAAGCGAUGUAACGACUGGGGAAACCACUGGUGGAAGCUGGCGUAGGUGUCGCAGCGUGUUGGGGGGCGAUAGCUUCUUUACCUUCAAUUCAGAUGGAGAAAGAAGGGUUAAGGUGUUUUUAUGUCACGCCCCAAGACCCACUCCAAGGGCGUGACGGUCAUUUCACACCUCAAACUCGGAGGGUUAAAGUGUAACUUGACCCAAACAAUUAUCUUGUAACUAGAAGUUACCAAUUACCAAAUACUUGUUCAGAGUAGCGGAACAAAAUUCUAAAAUCUUCAAAACUCAACUUUAAAACUAAGCAUCCAUCAACCAAAAUCCAUUAUCCAAAUAGAUUGCAAACUCAAACAAUUCAAGUUCUAACAAAACUUUCAUAAUCUCCAAAUCUCAACUUCAAACUAUCAUAAAAAAAAAAUUUAAAAGUUCAAUAUCUAAAUAGCUUCCAAAAACCAAAUAAUCCAAAUGAACAUAAACUUAUAAGCUAACAAUGUCCAAAAAUAACAUCCUAAGCAAAAUCCUAAUGAUGACCAUUCCCUGACCCAACCAUCACUUCUUGUCCGAACUAAGGGUACCUGAAAAGUAAUCAAUAAAGGGGAAUGAGCUCAAAGCCCAAUAAGGAAUAUUAAUAUAGUUUCAUGGAUCAAAUAGUUUCAAUUAUGCUUACAAAUAGGAGAUUUAGUGUAAAAUCCUUUUCAUAAGAACAUUUGAGUACAAAUAUGCUAAUACAUUUUAAGGUGUUUAACCAAACAUUUUCCUAUAUAUCAAAAUCAUUUUAUAUUCAUUUUAAAUCAAAUACAUUUCAAUUGUUUUCACUCUGGUUAACAAAUAACAAAUAGUGCCCAUUUAAGUGGGACUUUACAAAUAGGUGGCUAGCCUCAAAUGUUCAUUUUAAGGUGGAUGGAACCAAACACUACUAGUACUAGUAACCUCUAACCAAACCCUUACAGGGUGGGGUUCAAACCAAACCCUUAGAGGAUGGGGUUCAAACCAAUUACAUUUCCCACCACGAAAAUGUAAAGAUCAACUAUUAUAUCCCGUUGACAAUGGCAAAAAAGUCAACUAUUUUAUCCCGUUGACAAAGGCUAAAUAAACCAAAGUCAAAUUCUUUAAUUUAUUUAUUUCAACUUACAAAUGCAGAAAAUCUCCAAGUAUUUCAAUAUAAACAAAAUAAAUGUUAUAACACAUUUUUCCAUACAAAAAUAUAUUUGAUUCAUGCUUAAAAGCAAAAUUAACAAUUACACAUUUCAAAUAACACAAACAAACAAACACACACACACACACACACACACAUACACACACACACACACACACACACACAUAUAUAUAUAUAUAUAUAUAUAUAUAUAUAAUUAUUUUCUUUUGCAAAAUCUGUAUUAAUUUCCCUUACCUCAAAAGAAGUCCUAAAAAAGUUGGAAGAAAAAUAAUUCUAGAAAAUUUGCUCUUCAGCUAAUAAAAGAUAAGAGAAAUAACCAUUACUAUUUAUCUAAAAUUAUAGGUUUGACAAUCCUAAAAUUUUAGGUAUUCAAAUUAAUGUUUUUAAUUAUGAAAGAUAAUUUAAUCUAUUUUUAUUUUAAAAAAAUUAAUAAAUCUAAUUCAUAUAAAACUUAAAUUUUAUUUUCAAUUUAUUUCUUAGGACAUAACAUAAUUUAAUUAAAUUACAAUUUAUUCUACUAAUUAAAUUUUAUGCUACUUAUUAACUUGCACUCAUCAUUAGUAUAUAAUAUUGAUAACUUCUAUUCUCUCACUUUCAGUUUUUUUUUUUCACUAAACAUAAAUUGUAUCCCCAACAAUUCUCCAUUAUUGCUAACAUAAUAUAUAUAUAUUAACCACCAAACACCAUCCGUACACAUCUUCCUUUAUUAUUAAUAUUACUAUAUAUUUUUUUCUUUUCACCAUUCUCCAUCUUCCACAAGCACACAUUCUUCUUUUUUUUUUUUAAAAAAAAACUUCCUCUAGUGCACACACGUUCUUUUUCUUUCUUUCUUUUUUGCCCUAAUAUUUUCUAAUCCCUUAAGCCACAUAUAACAAUAUAUUUAUGUGCUCAUUUAUUUUUAUAUUUUUUUUUAAAAAAAAUCAUUACUUAGAUCUAUUCAUCUAAGAAAUUUUGAAUUUCCCUAUUUUCAUCAAUAGAACAAUUUAUAUUCCUAAUUUCAAUAUUUUGACCUAAAAGUUUUAAAUAGGUCAACCUUAACCUGAAUCGAGAUCUUCUAGAUAAUCAUUUUUUUUUUAACUUAAGAUUUCCCAAUUUCUGACAAUAAAACCAGCAAUAAUCCUAAAUUUCCAAUAUUUUGAUAUUAAAACGAAUUAAAAAAAUAAACUAACCCUAAUCUAAAUAAAAAAAAUUCAAAGAAUAACUAGCGUGUUCAAAUAUAAAUAACGAAUAUAAUAUAUUAAUUUAGGGUUAGAAUCUUACCAGGAAAAAAAACUUGAACUUCAACUCUGAAUCUCUAACCCUUGAGCCCUAUGAUCUCCAACUCUCUACUUCUGGUUGAUAGAGUUUUCUAAAUGAAGAAAACAAGAGAAAAAGUCCAAUUUAUACCUAGGAUUUUUAAUUGUAAAAGGACUCUUUCACUUUAAUGAAUUUAAUUAAUUACUUAAUUACUUUAUAAAUUACUAGUUUGCCCCUAGAUUAAAUUUUGGGGUGUUACAUCCUCCCUUCCUUAAAAAAGUUUAGUCCUCUAAACUUGACAUACUUGGGUCUUGAAAAAGAUGUGGGUGCUUUUUUCUUAUCUCCUCUUCUAAUACCCAAGUGGCUUCUCGAAUAUUGUGAUUGCUCCAUUGGAUUUUUACUAACUUGACAACAGCAUGACAUAGUACCUUGUCCAUCACAUCCAUAAUCUGAACGGGCACCUCUUCAUAGGUCAAGUCCUUAGAAAUUUGAAUAGGCUCCAACUCCACAACAUGAGAAGGAUCAUAAAUAUAUUUCCUCAAAGUCGAAACAUGGAAUACAUUAUGAAUCUUAGAUAGACUUGGGGGCAAGGCCACUUUAUAAGCCAAAUUGCCUACUCUUUCUAAUACCUUAAAUGGUCUCACAAAACGAGGACCGUAUUUCCCUUUUCUUCCAAAUCUCAUUAUAGACUUCAUAGGUGAAACUUUCAAGAAAACAUGAUCACCCACCUCAAACUCCAAAUCUCGUCUGCGAUUAUCAGCAUAACUUUUCUGUCUACUUUGUGCUGUUUUCAAUAUUUCUUUAAUUAAAGAGACCUUUUCAACAGUCAACUGCACAAGUUCAGGCCCCAAAAGUUUCUUCUCUCCAACAUCAUCCCAACAAACAGGAAACCAACAUCUCCUACCAUAUAAAGCCUCAAAAGGUGUCAUCCCAAUGGUAGCUUGAAAGCUAUUAUUAUAGGCAAACUCCACUAGGGGCAAAUAAUCAUCCCAAUUACCUUUUAGGUCUAAAGCAUAAGCUCUCAACAAAUCUUCCAAGACCUGAAUUACCCUCUCUGAUUGACCAUCAGUCUGCGGAUGAAAAGUAGUACUAAAACUCAACUUAGUACCUAAUGGUUUUUGUAAACUAUGCCAAAAUCUAGAAGUGAAAUGAGGAUCUUUGUCAAGUACUAUAGAAACAGGUACACCAUGCAUUCUCACAAUCUCCUUAAUAUAAAGAGAAGCCAAACGAUCCAUAGAAAAAUUUACUUUCAUAGGCAGAAAAUGAGCAAACUUUGUCAAUUGAUCCACAAUUACCCAAAUAGCAUUAUUACCCCCUAAGGUUCUUGGCAACCCUGUUACAAAGUCCAUGGUAAUAUGUUCCCAUUUCCAUUCAGGAAUAGAAAGUGGUUGUAAUGAUCCUGCUGGUCAUUGAUGCUCAGCUUUCACCUAUUGGCACACCAAACACUGAGUCACAAAUCUUGCAAUAUCCCACUUCAUACUUGGCCACCAAUAAUUUUGCUUCAAAUCUCUAUACAUCUUCAUCCCUCUUGGGUGGAUUGCAAACUUAGAACAAUGAGCUUCUUCCAAUAGCUCUCUCCUUAAAUCUCCAUAAUUUGGGACACAAAGUCUAGUCACAAAUCUCAAAAUCCCAUCAUCUGAUCAGACAAAGUCAGGCUUACUACCCCUCUUAACUUCCUCCAUAAGCUGCACUAAUUGCAUAUCAUUCUUUUAUAGGGUCUUAAUUUUCCCAACCAAGUCUGGUUGCACUCUAAAGUUUUCCACAAGAGCUCUAGAGUCCAAAACCCUUAUAUGGAGUUGUAAACUCCUCAAAUAUUCCAAUAAUUGCCUCCGACAACCUCUAAUAGCUGCUAAGGAACCAACAGAUUUCUUGCUCAAGGCGUUAGCCACAACAUUCGCCUUCCCUGGGUGAUACUGAAUAAUGCAGUCAUAGUCUUUAAGUAGUUCAAUCCACCUUCUCUGUCUCAUGUUCAAUUCCUUUUGGGAAAAUAAAUACUUCAAACUCUUAUGAUCUGUGAAUAUCUCACAAGUUUCACCAAAAAGAAAAUGUCUCCAGAUCUUAAGUGCAAAAACCACUAUAGCUAACUCCAAUUCAUGAGUAGGAUAAUUUCGUUCAUAAGGCUUCAACUGUCUAGAAGCAUAAACUACAAAUUUCCCAUGUUCCAUAAGAACACAACCCAAACCCUGACGAGAGACAUCACUAUACACCACAAACCCUCCUAAGCUUGAAGGGAUAGUUAAAAUAGGAGUUGUCAUUAAUCUAUUCUUUAACUCUUGGAAACUAUGUUCACAAUCAUUAAACCACUCAAACUUAACCCUUUUCUGAGUCAAUCUGGUCAGAGGUAGGGCGAUCUUAGAGAACCCCUCAACAAACUGCCUAUAAUAACCAGCCAGUCCUAGGAAACUUCGAAUUUCGAUCACAGUAUUAUGUCUCCUCUAAUUUGACACAACAUUUACCUUUCCAAGGUUAAUAAAGAUGCCAUCCUUGGUCACCACAUGCCCAAGGAAAGAGACUUUGUUUAACCAGAACUCACACUUCUUUAAUUUAACAUACAAUUGCUUAUCUCUGAGAGUCUGCAAUACAAAACUCAAAUGGCGCUCAUGCUCCCCCCUACUCCUUAAGUACACCAAAAUAUCAUAUAUAAAAACCACCACAAACUAAUCUAAAUAGGGCUUGAAUACCCUGUUCAUUAAGUCCAUAAAAGUAGUAGGUGCCUUAGUCAAACCAAAAAGCAUAAGCAAAAACUCAAAAUGCCCAUAUCUAGUUUGAAAAGCAGUUUUGGAUACAUCUUCACUUCUAAUCCUUAACCGAUGAUAACCAAACCGAAGAUCAAUAUUAGAGAACACACAUGCACCCUAAAGUUGAUUAAACAAAUCAUCAAUCCGACGAAGGGGAUACUUGUUCCUCACCGUCACAUUAUUCAACUCUCUAUAAUCAAUGCAGAGUCUCAUAGAUCCAUCAUUCUUCUUUACAAAUAAAAUAGGAGCUCCCCAAGGUGAAAUACUAGGCCUAAUGAAGCCCUUAUCUAACAACUCCUGAAGUUGAAUCUUCAACUCCUUAAGCUCCAUAGGUAUUUUCCUGUAAGGGGUCUUAGAGAUAGGAGUUGUCCUUGGUGCCAAAGCAAUGGUGAACUCCAUCUCUCUCUCUAGUGCCAAGCCAGGUAGAUCCUUUGGAAAGACAUCAAGAUGGUCCCUUAUAAUGGGUAUGUCUUCCAACUUUAAAUCAUUUUUCCCAUUCAUAACAUAAGCCAAAAAGCCUUGACAACCUUUCCUGAGCAAAGAACUAGCUCGCAAGGUUGAGAUCAUAUGCAAUGGUUUGUUCACAUGCUUCCCCUCAAAACUAAAAUCAGCCUAACCAGGAAUGCUAAACGUCACUCUUUUCCUAAAACAAUCAAUAGAUGCAUGGUAUGAAGCUAACCAAUCCAUCCCCAAAAUCACAUCAAAAUCCUCGAGGUCAAAAAGUACUAAGUCAAAUGUUAUCUCUCUAUACCCAAUCAUCACACUACAAUCUCUAAGUAUUUUAUUAACCACAACAAAAUCUCCAAAGGAGUAGCAACAAAUAAAUCAAAGUCCAUGUUAUCAAUCAACAUACCCAACAAACCAGCAAAAAAUACGGAAACAAAAAAGUGCGUUGAACCAGGAUCAAUCAAGGCUCUAGAAAAUAAGGUAUGAAUUCGAAGAGUACCUAUUACCACAUCAGAAGUAGCCUGGGCAUUUCUAUGAGUCAUAGUAAAUACCCGCCCUUGAGCCCUAGGUUUCUGUCUAUCAUUUUUAUUCUCCUCCUUAGGCUUCCCAAAUGCAAACUUCUUAUUCUUUAGACAAUCCCGAACCAUAUGUCCCUAUUUUCCACACCUAAAGCAAGCCUCUGUCUCUCUGAAGUAUGGCCUACCCCCAUGCUUCUUACCAUAAGUAGGACAAAUCCCAUCUAAAUUUUGUGCUGCUUUUCCUUUAUUCUGAUUUCUACUUAGAGCAGACUUUUUCUGUGCUUGGUUACCAUGAGCACCAUCAUUUCUAUUCCACUUCCUUUGUUGUUCCCUAUACUGGUGAAGCUUUUCAUUAUCCUUCUCUGCAAUAAGGGCUUUGUCUACCACCUGUGAAUAAACACUAAGCUUCAUAAUUGAUAUCUUAUUCUUCAGAUAAGGCUUCAGUGCAUCUUGAAACUUUAAUGCUUUUUUCUCCUCUAUAGCAAUCAACUGUGGGACAAAACGUGAUAGUUCAGUAAACUUAGCCUCAUACUAGGCCACCAUCAAAUUUCUGUAUUCCAAACGGACAAACUAUCCCACCUUUUGUCGUCGAACACUGUCAGGAAAGUACUUCUUAUAAAAAGCCUCUCUAAACUGACUCCAAACAAUAGGCCCCUGAUCCUCCAAAAGCCUAUUAGUCAUACGCCAUCAAUGGUCUGCCUCUUUGUCUAACAUAAAUGCUGUAUAAGAGGCUUUUUGCACAUCAGAACAAUCAAUGACAUCAAAGAAUUUUUGUAUCUUCAUAAUCUAAGUCUUUGCCUCAGUUGGAUCUAAAGGACUAGAAAAGUAAGGGAGACCCUACUUCUUAAAGUCAUCAAAGGAGCUACCUCUAGUAGAUGAGGAUUGUCCUUAACCAUUACUUCCAGUAGCUCUAGCCUGACGCUCAACCAAGCCAGCCAAAGUCCCUAAAUAUCUAUAAAGACCUUCAAUACUCAUAGUGGGCAAAGCCUCAAGUGGAGAAGGUAUAUCAUCAUUAGGCUGACUAUUUUGGGAAGAUGCAAGUCUCCUUGGUGGCAUGGUGUCCUAUAAAGCAAUACGUAUAACUAAAUUAGUCACUAAGAAGCCAAAUAAGCAAAUUAAAAAUUUAAGGAAUAAAAGGAAUCAUACUAGAUGAAGUUGAAACUUAAACUAAUGUGUCACUCAUCUAUUUCCAAAGGUAAACUAAACAAGUUCUCAUCAAGAUCAUAACUUGGUGCUUUGAUACCACACUGUCACACCCCAAGACCCACUCCAAGGGCGUGACGGUCAUUUCACACCUCAAAUCCGAAGGGUUAAAGUGUAACCUUACCCAAAUAAUUAUCUUGUAACUAGAAGUUACCAAUUACCAAAUACCUGUUUAGGGUAGUAGAACAAAAUUCUAAAAUAUUCAAAACUUAACUUUAAAACUAAACACAUAAACCAAAAUCCAUUAUUCAAAUAAAUUGCAAACUCAAACAAUUCAAGUGCUAACAAAACUUUCAUAAUCUCCAAAUCUCAACUUCAAACUAUCAUAAAAAAAAUUUACAAGUUCAAUAUCUAAAUAACUUCCAAAAACCAAAUAAUCCAAAUGAAUAUAAACUUAUAAGCUAACAAUGUCCGAAAAUAACAUUCUAAGCAAAAUCCUAAUGAUGACCAUUCCCCAACCUAGCCAUCACUCCUCGCCCAAAUUAAGGGUACCUGAAAAGUAAUCAACAAAGGAGAAUGAGCUCAAAGCCCAAUAAAGAAUAUUAAUAUAGUUUCAUAGAUCAAAUAGUUUCAAUUAUGCUUACAAAUAGGAGAUUUAGUGUAAAAUCAUUUUCAUAAGAACAUUUGAGUACAAAUAUGCUAAUACAUUUUAAGGUGUUUAACCAAACAUUUUCCUAUAUAUCAAAAUCAUUUCAUAUCCAUUUCAAAUCAAAUACAUUUCAAUUGUCUUCACUCUGGUUAUCAAAUAACAAAUAGUGUCCAUUUAAGUGGGACUUUACAAAUAGGUGGCUAGCUUCAAAUGUUCCUUUUAAGGUGGACGGAACCAAACACUACUAGUACUAGUAACCUUUAACCAAACCCCUAGAAGGUGGGGUUCAAAUCAAUUACAUUUCCCACCACGAAAAUGUAAAGGUCAACUAUUAUAUCCCGUUGACAAGGGCUAAACAAACUAGAGUCAAAUUCUUUAUUUUAUUUAUUCUAACUUACAAAUGCAGAAAAUUCCCAAGUAUUUCGAUAUAAACAAAAUAAAUGUUAUAACACAUUUUUCCAUACAAAAAUAUAUUUGAUCCAUGCUUAAAAGCAAAAUUAACAAUUACACAUUUAAAUAUAUAUUUUCUUUUACAAAAUUUGUAUUAAUUUUCCUUACCUCAAAAGAAGUCCUCAAAAACUUGGAAGAAAAAUAAUUCUGGAAAAUCUACUCUUCACCUAACAAAGUAUAAGAGAAAUAGCCAUUACAUUUAUCUAAAAUUAUAGGUUUAACAAUCCUAAAAUUUUAGGUAUUCAAAUUAAUGUUUUUAAUUAUGAAAGAUAAUUUAAUCUAUUCCUAUUUUAGAAAAAUUAAUAAAUUUCUAAUUCAUAUAAAACUUGAAUUUUAUUUUCAAUUUAUUUCUUAGGACACAACAUAAUUUAAUUAAACUACAAUUUAUUCUACUAAUUAAAUUUUAUGCUACUUGUUAACUUACACUCAUCAUUAGUAUAAUAAUAUUGAUAACUUCUAUUCUCUCACUUUCAGUUUUUUUUUUUUUUUCAGUAAACAUAAACUGUAUCCCUAACAAUUCUCCAUUAUUGCUAACAUAAUAUAUAUAUAUAUUAACCGCCAAACACCAUCCGUACACUUCCUCUAGUGCACAUGCGUUCUCUUUCUUUCUUUUUUUUUUUUCCCUAAUAUUUCUAAUCCCUUUAGCCACAUAUAACAAUAUAUUUAUUUACUCAUUUAUUAUUAUUUUUUUAAAAAAAAUCAUUACUUAGAUCUAUUCAUCUAAGAAAUUUUGAAUUUCCCUAUUUUCAUCAUUAGAAUAAUCUAUAUUUCUAAUUUCAAUAUUUUGACCUAAAAGUUUUAUAUAAGUUAACCCUAGCCUAAAUCGAAAUCUUCUAGAGAAUAAUUUUUUUUAAAACCUAAGAUUUCCCAAUUUCUAACAAUAAAAACCACCAAUAAUCCUAAAUUUCUAAUAUUUUGAUAUUAAAAUGAAUUAAAAAAAUAAACUAACCCUAAUCUAGAUUAAUUUUUUUUUGAAAGAAUAACUAGCGUGUUCAGAACUAAUUAACGAAUAUAAUAUAUUAAUUUAAAGUUAGAAUCUUACUUGGAAAAAAAAACCUGAACUUCAACUCUGAAUCUAUAACCCUUGAACCCUAUGUGAUUCAUUCCCAAUUGGUGUCUCAGUUGAUUCAUAUCCUCUCAAUGGUCCCUGACAGUGGUGCCAUUUGAUUCAUGUCCAGCUAGUGUCCCUUGAUUUUGGUCCUCAGAAAGGAGUAAUCAACAAAAUUUAUAACCUAUUACACCAUGAACUAGGGUAGCAAAGACAAAGCUACUAUAGCAUAGUGGCUCUAGGAUCGUUCACUGGGAUGGGUUUUCACUCCACAAUUGAUAUCAAUUCAAAGUUGAAUUGGUGCCUUUUCAUUUCAAGGUUAGCUUUAAAAGAAAACAUAAAGAUGUUUGAAUGAAAAAGGUUUGGUUUUAAACUAACCAAAAAUAGUAACUGAUUUUACUUACAAAGAAAAGUGUUUCUUGGAGUUUUAGAUCACUAGGCUCAGAUUCCUCAUACAAAAAGGGAGUUCCGAUCACUUGUUUCUUUUCCUUGCAUUAGAGAAUUAACAUAUAGUUCAUUCUCCAACCGGUGUGGUACAGAUGCUCCCCAUUAAUGGGUUCAAACACUAAAUCCCUCUCACUGAUACAUCUUGCAAUGGCUCGUGCCUCUCACCUAGCAUUUGCCAUUCAAGGUGAUCUUUAACCUUGGAUUACCCGUCAAAAGCUCGCAAGAGAUAACUAAUGGAUGUCUCCUUAGAGUCCAAAAGCUUACCAAGUGUUGGCUAUUCUAGAAAAUCCUACCUUCAAACCACCUCCCAAAGGCUCGCAAGAGAUAAACUAGUGCAUCUCAAUGGACGAAGAACACUUGCCUUACCAAGUGUUGGCCCAGGUGAUUUAAAGGCGUUUUAAGUUAACUAAAAAGAUAAAAACUAUUAACGGGUCACACUUUCUCUUCAUUAAAAACUAAAACAACAAAACUUCCAAUUUAUGCAUGUGGAAACUUACCCGGCUUUCUUCACUCCAAGAGAUGAAGAGCCUAGCCUCUUAUUCUCUGAGGAAAAAUCCUCAGAGUUUGGUUGGCUAAAAAGAAAAAGUAAAUAAUAUACAAUACAAUCAAAACGAGAAGGUAAGGCAGAGCAAAGGCUCUGUAUUUUACUUCCUUGCAAAACUGUACAAAGGAUUGAUCUCUGAGAACAAGCUCCCGAGAUGAUUUGUAAAGAAAAUUACAAAACUAUAUAUAAGGGGUUAUUCACCCUUUGUUCUUACUUAAAGACUAAGGAAUCCUAUGAUAGGUGGGUUAGAAAGAGACUUUGGGAAUUUUGAAAUCAAAUAUCUAAAGAAAAAUGUCUCAAAAUGUCGGUCGCACAUAUCGAGAAGCUUCAGGAGAACAUCGCGACACUGUGCAAAAUGGUUGUGAAACUCUCUGGGUAAGCGCUAUCAGAGGAUUCGGAUAUGUCUGAUCGGGGAAAUUGAAACGCCCUCCUCUCCCAUCUGGCGUCAGGCGCCGGAUGUGAAAUAUCCGGAGAAGGUGCUGGAUGUGAAAUAUCCGGAGAAGGUGGAACGUCGCCCGGACAGAAUUCCGAAUGUGAGAUACCCGAAGAAGAUGGAACGUCGCAAGGGGGACCGUCUGCGUGUGCAAGGUGUAGGGACCCCUCCCCUUGAUGACACGGAGCGCGCAUCGCUAUCCGAAGCAACUCCAUCCGGAUUCCCCAAGAGGACUCGUGGCGCGCUCCCCUAUCCGGACUCCCUCAGGGAGAAGCACACGAUACUUGCGAUCAUCACACCCGGACGAUAGCAUAUCCUAUCCGGAUAUGUUGUCCGGAUCAUUGACUAAAGUGCACAAGCCUUGCUACGUCAUUCUGACAGCCUGCCACAGCCCACAUUCCACCACCCUCCGAUGGUGUGUUCGGAUGCUCUGUCCGGACAUCUUUUGUAGGGAAGACUGACCAGAACUCAAUCUUGGUUGAAAGCGUGCGUAUCCCAUACUCCUUGCAUUCUGGAUUUGCUUAUGGCAAAGGACUUCAAAGCUUCGGUUCUUCAUGUUUCUGAGCUUUCCAUUGCCUUGCCAUGGAUUCCAAAGAACUCUCCUCAAACUCGGAUUGCUUUGGUGAUAAAAAAGCUAUCAAAACACCAAAACUUAACACAAUUUGAUUAGAAUUGAUUGCAAGGGUCCUUAAUAUGUUAAUUGGGUUAAAAGGUGAUAACUACUACUCAAAAGUGUUUAAAAGAGUUAAUUACAAACUAUGGAAUAACACUUUUUGAGUAGUAAUCACUAUGAUCUCCAAUUCUCUACUUUUGGUUGAUAGGGUUUUUUGAAUGAAGAAGACAAAAGGAAAAGUCCAAUUUAUACCUAAGAUUUCUAAUUGUAAAAAGACUCUUUCACCUUUAAUGAAUUUAAUUAAUGACUUAAUUACUUUAUAAAUUACUAGUUUGCCCCUAGAUUAAAUUUUGGGGUAUUACAUUUUAUAUCCUCCAAAACGGCGUCGUUUUGAUAUUGUAAAUAUUAAAAAAAAAAAAAAUUAAUUGAACCGUCCGGUUCGUUGGUCGGACCGUUGGUUCAACCGGUUCGAUUCCGAUUUAACUUAUUUCCGAGCUAAUUGACUGGAUCAGACUGGAACCAUGACCAGCGGACGGUCAGACCAGCUAAUCCGAUCAAAAUUUUAAAACCAUGGUUAAUUAUCCAUGAAGGGGUGGUGUUGCAUAAAAUUUGAGUCCACCAUAUCUAGGCAUGCUCAAUCAUAUAAAUUUAUAUAACCUUCGACAUCAAGCAUAUUAGGAGAAUGAUAAAAUCAUCACAUCUCAAUCGUCUAUUAUUAAAACUCCUGUAUUGUUGUAAAAUUUAAGAAAAAAUAUAUUUUUAAACAUCUUCAAAUAUUGGGUGUAUGUUAUUCUAUUUAUUAAAUGAACAUUUGAGAGACUUUACUGGAAUUUUUAUUUUUUAUUUUUACUAUGAAUAUCAUAUUUAUUUGUGUAAAACUUUAGAUUUAAAUAUUUGUUUUAACUUAAGAAUUUAAACUCUUCAACAAAGGUAAUCUCAUUUAGCUUUCUAUUUAUUGUAGCCUUGCAACUAAUAUCUAGUUUCAAGUUGAAAUUUUUGUUAAGAGAGAAUUCUAGGCUACAACCAAGAUUUGAAAUAUCGAUAAACAUGGAUAUAUCGGUACUUGGAUUUUAUGAAUAUAUAAGAAAUAUCGGAGAAAUAUCGAUGGAUAUUUUGAUAAAAAUUAUCUAUGGACAAAAAUUAUU